UACGUAGGGGGGCAAGCGUUGUCCGGAAUCAUUGGGCGUAAAGAGCGUGUAGGCGGCCCGGUAAGUCCGCUGUGAAAGUCCAGGGCUCAACCCUGGGAUGCCCGGUGGAUACUGUCCGGGGCUCGAGUCCGGAAGAGGAGUGUGGAAUUCCUGGUGUGAGCGGUGAAAUGCGUAGAUAUCGGGAGGAACACCAGUGGCGAAGGGCGACUGCCUGGCCUGUUCUUGACGCUG
rnacentral:rRNA from 1 species